AGCUCCCUAUCACUUUAUCAACCGCUUCUGGUGGAUUUUUAACGAUCAGUAUCAAAUAACAUAACUCUCUUGAGGUGUAGGGACCUACUAUAUCUAACGUAGAACCCUAUAAAGUAUAAGCUUCAGGGCCGUCUAACAGCACGCGCAAGUGGAGCGGUCGAACAGGGCCCCAAAAUAUAAAAAUAAAAAAAUUUAAGGUUUUUUGGAAAUAUAUAGAUAAAUUAUGGUAAGAAACUUUAAAACUUUAGAUAUAAUGCUAAAUUUAGAACUUAUAAUUAAAAAAAAUAAGACAAAAUUAUUAAAUUUUAAAAUUACUUGAUAAAAUAUACGAUUAAUAUUUUUUUUGAACAGGGCCUCAAAUUAAAUUGAGACGGCCCUGAUAAGCUUAGUAGUACUCAUGAGAUCGUUUUACGUCACAAAUCAAAACAAAACAGAAAGCGAGACCAUGCACCAAUAAUACCCGAUGGAGAACCGCCAUGUUAUUUAACUACAAAAUUUGCUAAACAAAAGUCGAGUCUCCCGAGAGUUGAGACUGUAGUGGUCGAGCGCAUGCGGGUUAUGAGGCACAAUGUUGUUUUAGAAGGGUCGAUGAUGAUAUGGGAGCUUUACCGUUCUGAUGACAAUUUGAUUUCGGAUAUUCUCUUACACCAGUGAUUAAUGACGAAACAAAACAAUAAAAGAUGUGUGAAUGAGAUGAGAAGGUUUUUUUUUGGGUCACAGGAGAUAUUUAUUGAGUUUAAGUAAGAACAUUACUUCUCUAAAAGUAAAAUAGAGAGAUACACGCAGUCACGCAGAAGAGAUGUGGAGAUAUUUUAUAAAUUGAAAUCUAAGGAAAGAAAACUAAUGCACUUUUGGAAAAAACUUAAUAUGUAUUAGGAAAUGCAAAAUGCUAAAAUGAAAAUAAUAUACUGAUGAUAUAAACAAAUUUUAAGUUUACGGUAUACAUUGAAUAAAUGAUUUACUUUUAUAGCAUAAAUAACUGUAUAUAGUCAAACUAUAGAUAACAUAAUUAAUUAGGUAUAUUAAUUGUUUUUUUAACAUGAUUUAAACGAAAAGACGAACCCAAUACAGUGUACCACUUGUCCAUUUUAUCAACUAAACCUAACUUGUGUAACACAGUAAUCUAAGCGAUGAACAAAAAAAAUGUGGCAGAUGCAACUCAAUCUCUGUAGUGUAAAACGGAAAUAACAAGAAAGAUCCAAAACGAAGAGGACAAAAUGUAGCAGGAAAGUUUUGAUGAUUAAAACGAACAAGCUUGUUGAUAUGCUUAUUCAGUCAAGAACAAGAU